CCUACGGGGGGCAGCAGUGGGGAAUAUUGCACAAUGGGCGAAAGCCUGAUGCAGCGACGCCGCGUGAGGGAUGACGGCCUUCGGGUUGUAAACCUCUUUCGCUCAUGGUCAAGCCGCAACAUUGGUUGUGGUGAGGGUAGUGGGUAAAGAAGCGCCGGCUAACUACGUGCCAGCAGCCGCGGUAAUACGUAGGGCGCGAGCGUUGUCCGGAAUUAUUGGGCGUAAAGGGCUUGUAGGCGGUUGGUCGCGUCUGCCGUGAAAUCCUCUGGCUUAACUGGGGGCGUGCGGUGGGUACGGGCUGACUUGAGUGCGGUAGGGGAGACUGGAACUCCUGGUGUAGCGGUGGAAUGCGCAGAUAUCAGGAAGAACACCGGUGGCGAAGGCGGGUCUCUGGGCCGUUACUGACGCUGAGGAGCGAAAGCGUGGGGAGCGAACAGGAUUAGAUACCCCAGUAGUC
rnacentral:rRNA from 1 species